GACGUAGGGCGCGAGCGUUGUCCGGAUUUAUUGGGCGUAAAGAGCUCGUAGGCGGCUUGUCGCGUCGACCGUGAAAACUUGGGGCUCAACCCCAAGCCUGCGGUCGAUACGGGCAGGCUCGAGUUCGGUAGGGGAGACUGGAAUUCCUGGUGUAGCGGUGAAAUGCGCAGAUAUCAGGAGGAACACCGAUGGCGAAGGCAGGUCUCUGGGCCGAUACUGACGCUGAGAAGCGAAAGCGUGGGGAGCGAACAGG
rnacentral:rRNA from 1 species